UACGUAGGGUGCAAACGUUGCUCGGAAUUAUUGGGCGUAAAGCGCACGUAGGCGGUCCGUUAAGUCGGAUGUGAAAGCCCCCGGCUCAACCGGGGAAGUGCAUCCGAAACUGGCAGGCUAGAGUACGAAAGAGGGUCGCGGAAUUCCCGGUGUAGAGGUGAAAUUCGUAGAUAUCGGGAGGAACACCGGUGGCGAAGGCGGCGACCUGGGUCGAUACUGACGCUGAGGAGCGAAAGCGUGGGGAGCGAACAGG
rnacentral:rRNA from 1 species